UUGUCUGUACUGGUGAGAUGAGUCUCUACCUUCUGAGGAACUUUCAUGCCAUUCGUUUGGUGUGAUGGGAAAUCAGGACUGUUACUUUGAAAAAAUUAGAGUGUUUAAAGCAGGCUAACGUCUGAAUACAUUAGCAUGGAAUAAUGAAAUAGGACGGAUUGAUUCUAUUUCGUUGGUUUCUAGGGUCACCGUAAUGAUUAAUAGGGAUAGUUGGGGGCAUUAGUAUUCAAUUGUCAGAGGUGAAAUUCUUGGAUUUAUUGAAGACUAACUACUGCGAAAGCAUUUGCCAAGGAUGUUUUCAUUAAUCAAGAACGAAAGUUAGGGGAUCGAAGACGAUCAGAUACCGUCGUAGUCUUAACCAUAAACUAUGCCGACUAGGGAUCGGACGCAGUUAAUUUUAUAAUGACGUGUUCGGCACCUUACG
rnacentral:rRNA from 1 species